ACGAUAAUAAAUCGUGUUAUAUUGUUCAUAAGCCCGGGGAUAAGGUAACGGGUGUAAGUAUCUCCGUUGACACAUAAAAGAAAGGAUCCUGAAGAAAAGUGAAAACGGAAGUGUGGGACGCAUAGAGAAAGAGAGGAAAGCGGCUCGACGAAUCGAGGCGCAGGGAACGGUAUGAGUACAAAGACGGACGUGAACAGGCGGGUCCUAGCGAUUCAAGCUAAAAAAAAGAGGCACAAGCCAAGCAAACGAAAAGGGAAGGGCAAUUCUCAGGGCGAAUCGGAUACGUCGGGUGCCCAGUGCUCGAAAGCACCGGCUGCUCGGCAAGGACAAGGAUCGGGUUUCUAUCAGGAUGCCUCUGCACAGAGACCAUAUUCCAGCGACAAUGGAAACAGAUUGGAACCAUGCCACAGCUCAAGUAAUGAAACGAUAGAGGACGAUGACGAAGUAUACAGUAGUGAAGAUGAGGAACAGGAAGAUAGCACUGAUUAUUGUAAAGGAGGAUACCAUCCUGUAAAAAUAGGAGAUUUAUUCUUAAAUCGUUACCAUGUAACUCGUAAACUUGGUUGGGGUCACUUUUCAACUGUUUGGCUCUGCUGGGAUUUGCAGGAUAAACGAUUUGUGGCACUUAAAGUGGUCAAAUCUGCGUCUCAUUUUACUGAAACUGCAUUGGAUGAAAUUAAAUUAUUAAAAGAUGUGCGUGAUACAGAUCCUAGUGAUCCUAAACGCAAUAAAACCGUCCAGUUGCUCAAUGACUUCAAGAUCAGUGGUAUUAAUGGUCUGCAUGUUUGCAUGGUAUUUGAAGUGCUUGGACAUAAUCUUCUUAAAUUGAUCAUCAAAUCCAACUAUAGAGGAAUUCCAAGAAACAAUGUUAAACGUAUCAUCAGACAAGUUCUAGAAGGUCUUGAUUAUCUUCAUAAUAAAUGUAAAAUUAUUCAUACAGACAUUAAACCUGAAAAUGUCCUUGUUUGCGUUGAUGAAGCUUAUAUAAGAAAGUUAGCUUGUGAAGCUACUGAAUUGCAUUCUCUUGGAAUGAAAUUACCAGUCUCCUUAAUUUCAACUGCACCAAAGGAAUUUCAAGAACCUACUCCAAACUCUAAGAUGUCAAAAAAUAAAAAGAAAAAACUUAAAAAGAAAGCUAAACGUCAAAAUGAAUUAUUGAAAAAGCAAAUGGAACAAAUCGAAGAACUUGAGGAGCAAAAUAAACUUGCAAAUAGCACAAGAGAGAAUGGAGAAUUAGAAACAAAUAGUCCAGAUCAGGAUAUAAAUACAGAAAGUAUAGAAGAUAAUACAGAAAGCAAAGGCUCACCUGAUAUUUCAGAACCAUCUGCACCUUCAUUACAUAUAAAUGGCGUAGAUAGUUUAGCAGGUGGAGAAAAAGUAGAAAAUCAAUUACCUCAACAGCCAGAGAAGAUGGAUAAUGCAAACCUAUGUGAUGUAGAGAAAAAUUGUGGCGAAGGUGCAUUAUCAGCUGAUCAUGAAGAUGUAGACGAAUGUAGUGAGGGUCGUACUUUACAACCACCUGAAAGUAAACAAUUAAAAAGAGCAUCUGUAGCGCCCUUAGAACCUGCCUUAGUGGAAUGUGAUGUUGAAGUGAAAAUAGCAGACCUUGGUAACGCGUGUUGGGUCCACAAAAAAUUCACAGACGAUAUUCAAACUCGUCAAUACAGAUCGUUAGAAGUGUUACUAGGAUCUGGUUACGAUACAUCUGCAGAUAUAUGGUCCACUGCCUGUAUGGCAUUCGAAUUAGCAACUGGUGAUUAUCUCUUUGAACCACACAGUGGCAAUUAUUAUUGCAGAGACGAAGAUCACUUAGCACAUAUUAUUGAAUUGCUUGGAGAAAUACCAAGGCACAUUGCUCUUUCUGGCAAAAACUCGAAAGCAUAUUUCAAUAAGAAAGGAGAGCUGAGACGUAUUACUGGAUUAAAACCUUGGGGACUGUACGAGGUGCUUACGGAAAAAUAUGAUUGGUCACCAAGAGAAGCACGUGAGUUUGAAGAGUUCCUAACUCCGAUGCUCGAGUUUGACCCGAGUAUGCGAGCUACAGCAGCAGAGUGCCUGAAGCAUCCGUGGCUGCAAAUCAAAAAACAAAAGUCAUAUGAUAAGGAGGAUGUACAUUUCAAUAAUUAAUUAUUAAGUAACACUCAACUCGGAUGAAAAAGAAGGAUCUAUGCUGUAUGAUUCUUUAGCGAAAUAUUUUCAUAUAACAAAUAGUUUAUGGAUAAUUUUGAACAGUUAAGUUGGCUAACUUACUCUAUGUAUUGUUACAAUGUAUAUCAUAUAUAUGUAUAUAUAUAUAUGUGUAUAAUGUAAAAUGCUGAAGAAAGAAGACGAGUUUCUGCAUCAUGACUGAUAUUUUGGUGAAAUAUUUGUGGCAAAGGAUAUACAAUGUGGAGACGUAUAUGGGAAGGAUAUUUACGAAUUAAGUUUGUAUUAAAAUGGGAACUGCACACGUUUCUUCUGGGUGAAAGAGGAGCAG
rnacentral:misc_RNA from 1 species